rnacentral:rRNA from 1 species
GACGAACGCUGGCGGCGUGCCUAAUACAUGCAGGUAGAACGCACAGUUUAUACCGUAGCUUGCUACACCAUAGACUGUGAGUUGCGAACGGGUGAGUAACGCGUAGGUAACCUGCCUGGUAGCGGGGGAUAACUAUUGGAAACGAUAGCUAAUACCGCAUAAUAUUAAUUAUUGCAUGAUAAUUAAUUGAAAGGUGCAAUUGCACCACUACCAGAUGGACCUGCGUUGUAUUAGCUAGUAGGUGAGGUAACGGCUCACCUAGGCGACGAUACAUAGCCGACCGGAAAGGGGGAUCGGCCGCACUGGGACUGAGACACGGCCAAGGCUCCUACGGAAGGCAGCAGAAGGGAAUCUUCGGCAAUGGACGAAAUUCUGACCGAGCAACGCCGCGUGAGUGAAGAAGGUUUUGGGAGCGUAAAGCUCGGUUUUAGGUGAAAAACGGGUUUGAGAAGGGAAGGUUCGCACGGGGCCGUUAUCUUACCAGAAGGGACGGCUAACUACGUG